rnacentral:ncRNA from 2 species
GACGGCCUUGGAAGAGCGAUCCGAGAGCCGGCAGAACCAAUGUCUCCCACGCGAGCGAUCGUGGGAGACAAAGUUCUGUGUAAAUGAAUUCUGAAGAGACUUGGUGCAAUUGCCAGCAAGUACUGGUUCGGACCGAGCUUGUUGAAGCAGACACUGCAUCGCUCGGGAAGAGCAAGCUCUUCUCGCAGUUCUGUAGUCCUU